rfam:Schistosoma mansoni strain Puerto Rico chromosome 1, complete genome
GUCCAGCUGACGAGUCCCAAAUAGGACGAAACACGCGUCCUGGAU